rnacentral:rRNA from 1 species
GUGUCAGCAGCCGCGGUAAUACGUAGGGUGCGAGCGUUGUCCGGAAUUACUGGGCGUAAAGAGCUCGUAGGCGGUUUGUCGCGUCGUCUGUGAAAUCCCGCAGCUCAACUGCGGGCUUGCAGGCGAUACGGGCAGACUCGAGUACUGCAGGGGAGACUGGAAUUCCUGGUGUAGCGGUGAAAUGCGCAGAUAUCAGGAGGAACACCGGUGGCGAAGGCGGGUCUCUGGGCAGUAACUGACGCUGAGGAGCGAAAGCGUGGGUAGCGAACAGGAUUAGAAACCCUAGUAGUCC